AUAUAAAAGGGAAAGUGGACAAGGAACGGAACACUGAGAGCGAGGACAGACGGAGGACCAUGAGGAACUGGCUCAGGUAUUGUGUGAUCUUCAGUCUCCUGGCAGCUGUCACCGCUGCUCCCCUUCUCCUGAACCCCAAGUCCACAGGCCCGACCCCAAGACUGGAUGCAGCUGCAGUGAUCGCAGCUCCGGGAGCAGAAGCUCUGAAGGUACAAUCGCUACGAAAGCCAAUUGACGCCCCGGUGAUCCCAAUGUGCCUGGCCUGCAUUUUCAGCCAGCUCCCCAAGAAAUGAUCCGUCCGCUCUGCAUGACGCUGCAGCUCCGCUCUAUCCACCCAUUCUGCUCUGCACGAGGAGUCGCCGCUAUAGGAAUAGCUAUCAUUCCUGUUCUGCAAUUACCGUCUGCAUGCACUGAUUGUAUCCUGUGUGGUGUCAGCCUGAGACGUGAUUAAACAUGACCUGCAGCCCA